AACGCAAAUUGCACUUCUUGGUAUUCCGAGGAGUAUGCUUGCUUGAGGGUUGGUCUACAAAAAAGUCGUAAAUUUUUUUUUUACGGAUCUGGGCUUUCCGAGUUUUCCGACCGCGGUUGCCUAAAAUUUAUCUUAACAGUGAGGUGUUAAUUAGAGAUGUUCUAUCUUACAUAUUGUAAGUUUAUCGAUGAUUAUGCUAAUUGUUAUAUCGCGUUAUUCAUCUAGUAUCUUUGAUUAGGUGAAAUAAUUCAAUUUUUUUUUUAAUCCUACCUUAAGUCAAGUAAGGAUACCCGCUGAACUUAA
rnacentral:misc_RNA from 1 species